UCGCCCGGCGCCGCCGCCCGCAACUCCGCGCAACUCGCGUCCCUUGCCAGGAGUUCACUCAGGAGAGGGAUGCUCGCUUGUUUGGGCGUCCUUAGUAAAUAUGUUCCGAGCUAGUUGUUGGGUGCUAGCGCUGACACCAUUCCUGAGUGUGGGAAUUAAAUAGUUUCAAAUUUCUUCAAAGAUACACUAUUGGGCUUAAACAAUUUGGAGAAGAAGAUUUAAAGAUGUGCCAUCAAAUUGUUUCCAGGCAAAAAUUUGCUUUGCUUUGCUUCCCAUUAUUCUGAAUAAUUUAUAGGUAUGCUAUUGUUGUGAGCAUGGAGAAACUCUUCUCCAUAAUUUUGGUAUCUCCAUUGGAUAGCACUCUUACAGUGGAUUAUGUGAUUGUACUUACUAGUUACAGGUUUCUUUCCUCUUUUGGUUCUUGUAGAGCAUUGUCUGUGGGUAGAAGGACUGGAGGGAGCAGUUGUAGGAUCUGAAGUAAAUGGUCUUGCUAAGAACAGAGUAGUGGAUGCUCUUUUUCAAGUUCAAAUACAGUGAUAAAUCUGUUUCAUAAAGAAUAAAAUGUGAUAAAUCUGCUUCAUAAUGAAUUGAAUGUAUUUACUUCUUUGGCUGGAUGGGAUAACCAACAAAAAAGGUAGUUUAAAGCUGUGCAAAAUAGGUUAGGCUUACAUUAUGUUGUCUUGAUUCUUAAACUAGAUAAAGGGGUUUUCUGUGAACAUUCACAAGUUUGUGGGACAGCCUGCCAUAGUAUUAGCCUUCCCCAUCUCACUAAUACUUGAAUGUCUGACAACUUGUUUUAGAUUUGUCCUCUGUCUUGAGGUAGGGCAGUGUCAUCAUCAUUAACCCCAUUCCUUAGAGAAUUGAAUCAGAGAACGCUCUCACUGAAAUUUGCUUCUCAGUAGGUGUUGUGCUUGGGAAUGAAGAGGAGGAUUUGGUUGGCAAAAAUUUAGUCCAGACUGUCAAAGCACAGACUCUGAAGAAGCCUUGUAUUCCUGUGGAAACUGCAGCAAAGGUCCUGAUGUCAGAUACUUAUGAGAGUGUUGAAGUCACUGAGGUCUCUGAUAUGCAGAAACCUAUCAUGUGCAUGUAUGCUUGAGGAUUUUGCCUAAAAGGGUGUAAUACAUAUCUCUGAAGAUGUCUAGAAACAAACACCUAUUGAAAUAUACUGGAGUUGGUAUGUCGGGUUUAAUCCAGUGCUGUUGUUUCUGGACCUUCAAGACAUUUUGACUUGGUGUGAUUUAUUUUUUCAGUGAAGAAUUUACAGUCUCUUGGAAGUCUUACACGCACAUCCUUAACUUUAGUGUGGUGGUGUUUUUAACUCCAGUUAAUUGUGCUGCUGCUGUGCAACAUCAGUUAAUACAACUCAUCAGUUGCUAACCUUUAUUGGCCUCGCUGCUAAGUAGGAUGACUUCUUUUGCUUGAGCUAAGCAGUCUGUAGGAGUCUUUGCCAGUGUUGCUGUAGCUCACUUUGCAGUGAGGACAAAGAUUAUCAUACUCAUUGUUUGUCACACUCACUGUUUGUCUGUAGUUCACGUUGUGCUUUUGAGAUUUAUUUAGACAGACUGAUAGUGCAUAUUUUAAAGCUAUAAUAUGUGUUCCCACACAUACCUAAAGAAACUUCAAUAAUAUGCACACUUCUGUAUAAAAUUGUAGCCAACUAAGAAUCAUUAAAUGUCCUGGGAUGUACUUGAUAUAUAAAUAAACAUGAGAAGAUUAUGUAUUUUUUAUAUAUUCAUACUGUAUGUCUUAAGGCCUGUUAAAAAUAUAUUAAAAAUACAUAUUAAAUAUUACCUAUGGCUCAAUGAA